rnacentral:ncRNA from 1 species
AGUCCUCGGGGUUGGGUGAAAGUCCCGACCGGCGGUGAGUCGGAGUAAUCCGACGAGCCCGCGAACCUCGGAUGGUUGCCGCGAGGCGUCAUUCGGGGCCGAUCAGGUGCAAGUCCUGGGCCGACGGUCAGAGUCCGGAUGGGAGAGGACG